AGGCUGGUCUGUGUCACUGACUGGUCCCGGUUGGAAGGGGGAGCCCUCCCCCUCCUCACCGAGGGGAGGGGGCUCCUCGGAGCGCAGUUGGGUCCACCUGGAAUGGAGAGACCCUCCUCGGGAGCCCCCUGACUCAAAUAGGACUCCUAAUGGGGGAGGGGGGGUUCUGCUUUCUUCCCGCAGGGAUUUGGAGGAGGGGGAGAUCGGAAGUGGCCUUGGAGGAGGGAUGGACGCCGAGAGAGGGGACGAUGCCGAACUCCGGCUGAUCCUGGUGGG